UGUAAAUUUAGUAAUAGACAACUGGUCAGAAAUAUCGCGAAUGGCCAUAAAAAGUCACAUGACGGAAACAGAUGAAUAGAAGAUGAUUUUUUUUUUAAAGGUAUAAAUACUUUUACAUUUUUAGAUGAAUAGAAGAUGAUUUUUUUUUAAAGGUAUAAAUACUUUUACAUUUUUUAAACAGUAGACUGUCGUAUUGAACAUCUUGACAGUUGAAAUGUUAGAAAAAAAGUGACGUGACAUUCAGACAAGUAUGGUGACCCUUACUCAGAAUUUGUGCUCUGCAUUUAACCCCUCCAAAGUGCACAGUAGUGAACUCACACCCGGAGUGGGCAGCCAUUUAUGCUUCGGUGCCCAAGGGAGCAGUUGGGGGUUCAGUGCUUUGCUCAAGAACACCUCAGUCAUGGUAUUGCCAGUCGAGAUUCAAACCCACAACCUUAGGGCUAAGAGUCAAACUCCCUAACCACUAUGCCACGACUUCCCCGAAAGCAACAUAAUAUACUUUUCUAAUAUAUAUGUAUUAUCAAUAUUAGUAGAUUUAAAAUGUAUUUUUAGCCCUGGACAAAAUACUUCAUUUCCCAGCAACCCGUGGGAAAGGAAGAAAUGAAUUUCAACUUUCAAUUUAUCUUAGCCUCACUCGUCCAUCACUAACAUACAGAAGCAACAGUUUGGAAAUAUUUGUCUGAAUGCGACGACCAGUUUAUAGAGUUCAAAGAGCAAACAAUGGACAUUCAGGGUGUAACUGGAGGGUAAGUUUUGCAUUGUGGGUUUUAAAUGGCAGACGAGGGCGUAUGUUCGUAGUUUUGGCAUACAUGCGUUUAAAUCUUUGGCGAAAAUUCAAUUGUAGUGCAGUCCAAGACGCUUGUGUUGAUGGCCAAAGAAUCCUGGUUAGACUCUUCCCUGCGCCGUUCAUCUAAACUUGGGCAGGAGGUGUUGAAAAAAGCAAAGAGACAAUCUGUUAGCUGCUCAAGUACAAUACCAAGUUCAUCACCCGUGUUCAACCACAAUGAAAUAAACUCAGAGAGUGAAAUUUUCCAUUCAGAAUUGGACCAUGCUUUUUCAAAAAUAGUUGAGUACAUGUCAGAAACCACCAGACAAUGCAAGGUGAAAAUGUUUUGUUCAUUAACUUGCACUUUGAGAUUUGAAUGAGAAAAAAAUCUGUUAUCUCUUUGACAGAAGUUUUAUGAGACUAUGCACCUUGCUCAGCCCAGAGAGCGAGAACACAUCUGUCGCUACCAUUCCCAGCAGAUGUUGAGGACCGCAGACCAGAAACAGAAUGCUAGUGCAGCCAUCAGAUGAGACACUGUAAGUACUGAACUUGACAAAAAUAUAUGCCAUACUUUUUUGCCAUUAUAGGGAUUUCCACACUUGAAAUAGUUAACCCUGGGUCAUUCUAAACCUCAGUUAGAUGGAAUACUGGGUUAUCUUGCUUCACGUUUCACACUGCUCAAAAUUUAUUUGGGGUUAAAAAUUAAUCCUGGGUAUUCGUAUGCUGACAUUUCAAACUGUACAUUUCUAAACCAGGUGUUGAUGUUCUUUGCAUAUUUGAAGAGUCUGUGUCAUUGCUUGGACGCAUGCAGUCUGUUUACAUAAAACCAUACAUAGGCUGUUGCAAUUGCUAUCAAGUUUUUCAGUGACUGUCCAAAGCACAUGAAUAUGAGCCGGGUGAUCAGGUGUCUGUUGCUAAUUAUCUAGUUGUAACAUUCUAACACCACAUUGCUUCACACUGGACAUGUUUGGUUAAUGGUGCAACAGUGCUCCAGUGAAGAGUUUCAUAACCUGGGUAAAAAGCAGUUCUAACUCUGCUUCCACAGUACAAGUGGGAAAUGUUCCAUUACCCAGUUUUAAAAGCUGACGAUAAAUUGGGGUCACAGUGUGAAAUGUCAUAUUUUGUAUGAACUUAACGUAUAAGCAUAGUAAAUCAUGUUGGUUUUGAGCAUAGAGGAACUAUAUUUAACCAGGCCAUAUUUACAAAGUUUAUUCUGCAAAUCCACUCUUUUGGUUCAUCUACAUAUUUGUUUGAAGGGGUCAUCAGAACCAGAGGAUUUCUUCAUUGAAGUGUCUCCAGGCACCUAUUCCAUCACAGCAGCAAUGCAGGACACAAAGUCACAGACGAAAACUGUCCACAUCUAUGCAGAAGAAAGCAUGAGUCUUACAUUCAAACUCGGAACCUCACCUGUAUAUUAUUAUAUCUAAAAUAAAGUGACUUAAUUGAG